CUUACGGCCAGGGCUACACACGUACUACAAUGGUAGGGACAGAGGGCUGCAAGCCGGCGACGGUAAGCCAAUCCCAGAAACCCUAUCUCAGUCCGGAUUGGAGUCUGCAACUCGACUCCAUGAAGUCGGAAUCGCUAGUAAUCGCAGAUCAGCAUUGCUGCGGUGAAUACGUUCCCGGGCCUUGUACACACCGCCCGUCACACCAUGGGAGUUUGUUGCACCAGAAGCAGGUAGCUUAACCUUCGGGAGGGCGCUUGCCACGGUGUGGCCNAUGACUGGGGUGAAGUNCGUNAACAA
rnacentral:rRNA from 1 species